CAGCUCUCCGAGUGGUAGGGAUGAUUAUUGGGCUUAAAGCGUCCGUAGCCGGCUUAGCAAGUCUCCUGUUAAAUUCAGCGACCUAAUCGUUGAGCCGCGGGAGAUACUACUAGGCUAGGAGGCGGGAGAGGCCGACGGUACUUCCGGGGUAGGGGUGAAAUCCUAUAAUCCCGGGCGGACCACCAGUGGCGAAGGCUGUCGGCUAGAACGCGCUCGACGGUGAGGGACGAAAGCUGGGGGAGCGAACCGGAUUAGAGACCCGGGUAGUCC
rnacentral:rRNA from 1 species